GUGGAGUGAUCUGUCUGCUUAAUUGCGUUUCACUAAGGGCCCAUAAAUUCAAGGUAUGUUAGCAAAUGCUGCUCUAUUGACCCCUAAUAGGCUUAACUGUCUUUAGCGCGUGCCUCUACGAGUUCUUUUAAAGCACUGCGCAUGCUGUUGGGUCCUGAAAGCAACGAACGUGAUCGCAACGUCUUGUUGCCUCUCUAUAAUGUCUCUCUAUUUUUAUUAAUAAGAGUAUUUACCUGAGGCUAUUUUAAAACUAGACGGACCGCUGUUCCUUUCUUAAACCAGAGGAAGGUUGCGGCAAUAACAGGUCUGUGAUGCCCUUAGAUGUUCCGGGCUGCACACGUGCUACAAUGAUCAGUACAGUGAGCAUCUCAAUUUUAUAACACCGUAUUAAGCGCUUAGGUCGUAAUUGUUGGGCCUUUUAGGUCUUUUCAAUUGCGUUCUCUAAUGCGCACGGUAAAGCCUGCUUCGAGAGUAAGUGGGUAAUCCAUUGGAAGUAAUGAUUUCCUUAUUCUUAUAAACAGCACACCAAUAUACGGCAUUCAUUCCCGAGACGGCUUAGUUCCGACUUUGUGCGAAUGUAAUGUAUUCUUAUCCGUAUGUGCGAUUGUCAAUUCAUGGUGGGGACAGACCAUUGUUAAUUGUUGGUCUCGGUCUUAA
rnacentral:rRNA from 1 species